AUCUGUAUGCAAGACAAUUACAAGAAGUAUUCAGUAGAAUCAGUAUGCAAGACAGUUACAUGAAGACCUUGUGACUCUGGUGCCAGACAAAAUUACAACAGUCAGUCAUAAUGUUUAGUUACAUAUUAAAGUUAAAGCCAUUAUCAUAUAAAUAUAGCCAUGCCAUGAAAGUGACUGAUUAGGAAUAGUUGAAACACAUCUAUUGUCAGCUUCAACCACUAAUUUCUUACAUGUAAUGUCAAAUCAGUCCAUACAUAAAACUUCUACAAGGCAUAAAUAUUGUUUUUACUUGGAAAGAGAAAGAGUUUUUUCCCAAAGCUUUUCAUGUAAAAUUUGCAUACUGUUCACUUGGCCAUUAUUUCUGGAUUCCUCACCAUUCUGUACUGUUCUUGGCAAGUGACUAAAACCCAGUUAGUAAAAUAAAUAAACUUUAGAUACAUUUUGUUUUGAAAGCCUUGCCAGGAAUUCAAACCUAUUACUCUUUUUAUAGAAGUCUUUGUGCUAAAUAUGUACUGAGCUAACUGCCCAGGGCAUUUUUAUCUCACAUUUCAGCCUUUUUCAGUAUUUUUUCAUUUUACAGAUCAACCACUGUGGAUUGUUUGGCUUGAUGCAAUGACCUUAAACAGUGAAAUGAUUUUCCAGGAAGGUCUAUACACAACAAGCUGGAUUUUAUGGGGUGAUGAAAGAACUAUGAAUAUAUAAAUGGGAAUGAAACAGAAGGAAUUAAUAUGUUCUACUGAUCAUCCAGCUGAAAUCAUGCCUGUGGAAUAGAGUGCAUGUCACAAAUACUGAUAUGAGCAAAUAACUCCAUAUUGCACAAAUAAUGUCAUGUUUCCUUCCCUCAUGACCUGAAAAAGUUAAAAAUUCUAGUUCAAAUUACAGAUGUGUUUCAAGAAAAAGCUGUGAAGUUGUUUGUGAAGCACUAUCCUAAUUGUUCUAACAAUACAGAAUUUAACUUAUAAAUUUUCCAAAACUGCAUGCAUGAAAUACUAAGACAUGUCUGUUGAAUGAAUCCUAGUUGUUUCAAAACUACAACAUGUGUGACAUUAAAGCACAACCUUUGGAGGAAACAUUUUUACAAUAAAAACUGCCUUGCCAGUGUGAGUGUAGGAAGGAUUUUUCUAGAAAUGGCAGAAAACUACCAAUAUAGCAGAAAAUAUUUGUUACUGGCUGAAUAUAAUAUAUUUUAUUUCAAGAAUUAAUCAUGUCAAUCCAUGGUUAUAAUUGUGUUAAAAGAUAUUUUUAGAUGACAUGACCUUUGCAGAAAUAGCUAUUUUUUUGCAAAACAUUGUGAGUUGCCAUGGUAACACAAAUUUGACUUAAAUUUAGAUUUGUUUGAUUAUGUAAACAGCAUGUGUCUUGUUUAUAUUCUGCUAAUCAGACUGCAAGAAAAUAUCUUUUAUGUGUAACCAUCAACAAAACAUAUCAUAACACAUAUCUGCCAUAAAAUGGCAGAGCUGUAAUGCAGGUAGGCAUAUCAGGAAAAUAUGUAGUUCUGAAAGACAAGUUAUAUUACAUAAAAUGAUGUUUUUUUUUUUUUUAUAAUGAUCAUAAUUGACCAUUUGUGGUGUAAAACAAAUGUAUACUGAACAGAUGCUAAAUGAAUGUUCUGAUUCUUUCUGGAAAAUUUACAAAAAGCUAUUAUUUUAAGAAAAUAGUACAUUGUUGCCAUGGUAACAUUGAUUUAACUUUAAUAUUAAAUUAUUUUGGAUAUCAUCAUAUGUAAACAACAUCUUUCUUGUUUAUAUGUUAUAUAUCUUAAGCUGUAUUAUGUUAGUGAAUAUAUUUUCAUAUGUAAUAAUUGCAUCAACAAAGCACUAUGUUAUUACACAAGCCUGCCUUAAAAUGGCAAUAGUUGUAACUGAGAGAGGUGUAUCUGAAAAUUAUGUAUUUCUCAAACCAUAUUACAUUAAUUUUCACAGAAUGAUGUCUACUCUCUUACUUUUAAAUAAGAAAACAGACAGCUUUUGAUGUAAAUAUAUGGGAAAACACUUCCAAUAUUCAAUUAAUUACAAAGAAAUUGCCAAAAAUGUUAGUAUUUUUGUAAGAAAAUACCACAUUGUUGCCAUGGUAAUGUUAGUAUUUUUGUAAGAAAAUACCACAUCGUUGCCAUGGUAAUGAUUCACUGAUCAGUAGAUCUAACAGUUAAUAAUAACAGUCUAAUAAUUUUCUUUCUUACUGUUUAAUAGUUAAGGUGUCUAUAAUAAUAAGAUUAUUGUCCUAGUUUUUGGAAUGUUGUCUAAUUUGAUAUCAAAUAAAUUCUGUAUCUUGUUCAAAAGAAUGUCAUAAAACAGUUGUCUGCAAACUGUUAGCACACUAGAAAAAGUUAAUUGUGUAUUUAUUUCACAUUCUAUGUAAUUUAUUGCUAGAUUCAUCAAGAGACUGUUAAAAAAGAGGUUAAACAACAGUGUUGCUAUAGAAACGAUUUUUAGAACAUAAAUAUUUUUAUACUACAUGAAAGAAAGAGACAAAAAGAAAUACAUUCCAUUAAUUGCA